rnacentral:rRNA from 1 species
CAGUCGCCGCGGUAAUACGAGGGGUGCAAGCGUUAUUCGGAUUGAUUGGGUGUAAAGGGUGUGUAGACGGCUUAUUAAGUCACUUGUUAAAUUCUUCGGCCUAACUGAAGGUCUGCAAGUGAUACUGAUGAGCUAGAGGGUGGAAGAGAGAAGUGGAAUUCUCGGAGUAGCGGUAAAAUGCGUAGAUCUCGAGAGGAACACCAAUGGCGAAGGCAGCUUCUUGGUCCAUUCCUGACGUUCAUACACGAAAGCGUGGGGAGCAAACAGGAUUAGAUACCCGGGUAGUCCCUGUCUCUUAUAC